rnacentral:rRNA from 1 species
GACGAACGCUGGCGGCAUGCCUAACACAUGCAAGUCGAGCGAGUGGAGUUCUUCGGAACAAAGCUAGCGGCGGACGGGUGAGUAACACGUGGGCAACCUGCCUCAUAGAGGGGAAUAGCCUCCCGAAAGGGAGAUUAAUACCGCAUAAGAUUGUAGCUUCGCAUGAAGUAGCAAUUAAAGGAGCAAUCCGCUAUGAGAUGGGCCCGCGGCGCAUUAGCUAGUUGGUGAGGUAACGGCUCACCAAGGCGACGAUGCGUAGCCGACCUGAGAGGGUGAUCGGCCACAUUGGGACUGAGACACGGCCCAGACUCCUACGGGAGGCAGCAGUGGGGAAUAUUGCACAAUGGGGGAAACCCUGAUGCAGCAAUGCCGCGUGAGUGAUGACGGCCUCGGUUGUAAGACUCUGUCUUCGGGUACGGAGUAAUAGACGGUACCGAGGAGGAAGCCACGGCUAACUACGUAGCCAGCAGCCGCGGUAAACGU